rnacentral:rRNA from 1 species
CCUACGGGCGGCAGCAGUGAGGAAUAUUGGUCAAUGGGCGCGAGCCUGAACCAGCCAAGUAGCGUGAAGGAUGACUGCCCUACGGGUUGUAAACUUCUUUUAUAAAGGAAUAAAGUGAGGCACGUGUGCCUUUUUGUAUGUACUUUAUGAGUAAGGAUCGGCUAAUUCCGUGCCAGCAGCCGCGGUAAUACGGAGGAUCCGAGCGUUAUCCGGAUUUAUUGGGUUUAAAGGGAGCGUAGAUGGGUUGUUAAGUCAGUUGUGAAAGUUUGCGGCUCAACCGUAAAAUUGCAAUUGAUACUGGAAGUCUUGAGUACAGUUAAGGAUGGCGGAAUUCGUGGUGUAGCGGUGAAAUGCUUAGAUAUCACGAAGAACUCCGAUUGCGAAGGCAGCUGAC